GCAGAAAUUGAUAGUUCAGCAAACUCAAAUCCUCAACAAACAUUGCUCCCAAAAGCGUCUUAUAAGUUGCUCCAGGAUUUCAUAGCUCUCAAAGUUCCUGUGCAUUUUCUCUGUUGUUCUUCGGUUUUGCGGAUUGUCUCUACGUUAUUAGGGAAAUGCAGAUGGCGGGUGUAAAGCCUAAUGAAAUUAUGGUUGUCUAUAGCUUUAUCUGCUUUUGCGCAGUUGGGAGCAUUAGAGGCUCGGUAAAUGGGUUCAUUUGUACGUGGAGAAGAACAACAUUGAUGUUAAUCAUAUAGGUGGUUCAGCUUUGGUGAAUAUGUAUUUGAGAUUAUGCCAUAAACAGAUUAUGCUCAUACAAAUUAUGCCAUAAACUUCAACAAGAAGUGCAACGUAAACAUUACAAAUUUCAACAAGAAGGAAUGCCUGAAUCAUUCAACAUACUCAGAAUUUCUCCUUCUUGCAUAAAGUCAACAUUGUAAUACUCUGUUGUUUCCGCUCAGUUACAGACAAACUUUCUGGUUAAUCUUUAAAUUUAAGUAUUUCGUUG